rnacentral:lncRNA from 1 species
GCAAAUCUCGGUGCAGAAGGCAGCGAUGCGCCAAGCUGUCAUGUCCAAUAAAGUUCCAGAAAGAAGACGAGUGCUGUCCGCGCUGUGCUGACAAUGGUGAGGGCCGAACCGGAGACAGACCUCCGCGGAGGACGGGACGCAAGCGCAAGACCCGAGGCGGGACGCCGUGGAACUGAGCCGGAGGCCGAUACGGGUGUCCCUCCCAACACGGACUGUCUCACCAAAACACCACCGGAACGCGCGAACACGAGCAGCUGAGCGAACAAAAGGUGGGAGAGAGCGAAAGAAACCAAGAGACGGGUGGUUGAAAAGCCUGGCAGCUGUACAUUCCACCGAACGACUUCCGGCCGAAUGGAAGAGUCCAACAUCGUCUCCGAGGGUGAACUCCCCACCCACGUGACGAUGACGCCCGCCUCUGCCCCCUCUCUUGAUGGAUCGCUGGCUCUCGCCACCCCCAGAAAACUUUACGCCGGAACAUUGCGUGCCCGCUCCGGUUUCAAUCGACUGCAAGGAUCGACUGCGAUUGGAUACAUACCCGCCCAGCGGGGUGGUGCGCCGUUUUCUUUCUCUCGCCAGUCACAACCGACUACGUCAUGCGUGGUAGUGAAGUGGGUGAAAGUGGUGUGAUCGAAGGAACCAAAUGUGAAGGGGUGAGGGGCAUCGUCAGUCAUAUGUAGCUGCGCUGGUGGCUUGUUCUUCCUCUUGUGGUGCUGCGUGCCGAACUAAGCCUCCCUGACUGCUUCGAUGGACACACCGUUAUUUUGUUUCGACACGAAUGUCUCUAGCUACCACCAUACCCUCCCUCUCACUCUCGUGCCGGUGUUACGAGACGUUGUCCAGUGCGUGAUUGGCGGAGUAGAGGGGGAGUUACCACCGAGCGGAGUGCAGCGGAAUACUCAAAAAAAUACCAGCUGCGAACUUUGACUAAUCCAGCUUCUGUCGCCAUCUAAGCAAGCCAAAGUUUCCUCCACGAGCUUCGUCCAACAUCCUGAAAAAAAAAACGAAGAAGUGUGACACAGUGAUGACGAAGCUCUUCUUCUUUGACUCUCUUGUUUCAGUGCAACUAUGUGCGGCUUCUCCGUGUAAUGUAGAAAAAAGGUGCCCACAUUAAUGAAAAAAAAGUGUGGUGUGAAAGUUGUCAUGGCGCUUGCAAGAGUAUGGGAACGAGCAGGUUGCUAAUAGCCCGUUUUCUUCAAGAUCUUUUUAGUAUACUUUUUCGGGCUCUAAUAAAGGAGGACUUAUCCGACAUCUCUCCAGCUUCUUGUCGAGGUAAUAUGUUUAAGUGAUGUUCAUUUUUAAAACUGCUUAUGCACUGUAUUAUUUAUGCAUUUCACAUCUAAAGCCCUCUUAACGAGAAUUUUUUGGUGGCACUUAGUGACACAUUGAAAAAUGGCAUCGCUGCUUUCCAGUUCCAUCUUACUCUGAAUAUUGAUGCUCAUACUUCUAAGCUGCAAUGCUGAAACUGCUUUAGACCAAAGACUAGAUAAGGCAGCAGACUAGGCUGGGCUGAAUUGGUCUCAUAUCUCAUUCGUCUGCUGUUGUUUGCCUCCUACUCUAAAUUUGAAAGACCAACCUUCGUAGUGUACCUUUCUUCUAAAGCAAGCUACCAUUGCUGAUGCUAUCACUGUACCGGAUCAGGCACGUUAGUAAAGUUUAGCGUCAUGAUAAUAGUGAUAAAUAAUAGUAUCAAUGCUAUACUAAUACUACACUAAAACAUAUCACUUUGCCUCUUAUUACGAGUUGAAAUAAUUCAGGACGACUGUUUUUAACUGGGCUAUUUGUAGUGCAGACGCGUUCGCCAAAUGUACUUUCUAAGCAAACCUGUGACGAGCUCUGUUGUCGGUCGUUGUGGGUGGGGCCCACGGAAUGGCUUUUUGCUCUCCCAUGGUAGAGUACCAGGUACUCUUAAUUGUUAACAUAUUUUUCGAAACACACAUCAAUAACACAUUGCUUAAUGUGCAAACGUGUUAUAGCGAUGAUAUCGCGUGACCUUUUAUUAUUAUUAUUUUUUGCAAAGCACCCAGCCAGCUUAUGUCGUUGUGUACAGGGUGACCGGUUGCAGUAGCUGCGCCGCAACGAUUGCCUAACAAGGAAGCCAAAAUGGUAACCAAAAUGGUAAUUUUUUAGCGUUGCUCAGUUUAUAUGUUAACACGGAUGACGCCGUUUCGUCAAAAUGAAAUCGUCGUGUGAAAGCAGUGAUAGCAUAACUAGUUCACUUCUUGAUGACUCUCUUCGGGUUAGCAUAAAAGCAGAGACCUGUUUUCCGCAAAGCACAAUGGGUAGAUGAACUGGGCAGAACGAAAUGGCAUUGGAUCUUUUUACUGAAUAAAGCACGAGUAUAUAAGUACCUACUGAAACGCUCAGUAGGUCAUUACAAUUUUUCACGUGUUUUCCGCAAGACUCUUAGGGAAAUAAGUGGAUUCCGUUCGGAAACAUGAAGUUAUUGGAAUGAGACUUCCCUAUGAACGUACCUUAUAGCUACUUCAUUCACAGUAAGAUGGCUUCACAGAAGACAAAGUUACCUUCACUGAACAGACAAGAACUAAGAACCAAUUGUAUACAUUGCAUUGUGGUGCCUUCUACAGUGUACCACACGUCAGUAGCGCCCUCUAGCGAAACUAUGCAGCAGUGGUGGUGAAUCAUGGUGGGUCAACACGUAUCAACGACCAUUGGCUUGUUUUUUUUUUGCGAGAACAUAGUCGCAACUGCAGCUAUAGCUGAACUCUAUAAUCAGCUCAAGGAAAACCACCUAUUGCGGCAUUUUUUUAGAUUCUCGAUAUGUUGUAUUCCGUGCGUGUUUGACAUGGAAUGAUACUUGUGUAAUUUUUUAUAGUGUCUAUUUUCCAAUUCAAGCAGCCCCAACGUGCAGCUGAAGUUGUGUUCAGAGGAAGCCUUAUGUCGGUCAUUGUUUGUUUUUAUUGAAACGUAAAAAGAGAAGCUAAAUUUGCAAGAAACGCGUCCAUGAAUGAACGCGACUUACGAGAUGGCAGUAAACGGUAAUGUCUUUCACUUACUGCAAAGAACAAUGUUGCUGCCCGUGUGUAUUCUUGACGAAGUGGAUUCGCGAAAACAUGCAGUCACUGAAUCAACAGACAUUUAUCAAAUAAUGCUGA